rnacentral:rRNA from 1 species
CUGAGAGGAUGACCAGCCACACUGGAACUGAGACACGGUCCAGACUCCUACGGGAGGCAGCAGUGGGGAAUAUUGCACAAUGGGCGCAAGCCUGAUGCAGCCAUGCCGCGUGUAUGAAGAAGGCCUUCGGGUUGUAAAGUACUUUCAGCGGGGAGGAAGGUGUUGUGGUUAAUAACCGCAGCAAUUGACGUUACCCGCAGAAGAAGCACCGGCUAACUCCGUGCCAGCAGCCGCGGUAAUACGGAGGGUGCAAGCGUUAAUCGGAAUUACUGGGCGUAAAGCGCACGCAGGCGGUCUGUCAAGUCGGAUGUGAAAUCCCCGGGCUCAACCUGGGAACUGCAUUCGAAACUGGCAGGCUUGAGUCUUGUAGAGGGGGGUAGAAUUCCAGGUGUAGCGGUGAAAUGCGUAGAGAUCUGGAGGAAUACCGGUGGCGAAGGCGGCCCCCUGGACAAAGACUGACGCUCAGGUGCGAAAGCGUGGGGAGCAAACAGG